AUCAGGUAGAGAGACUCAUUCAGACCUGGGGACAUCAGGUAGAGAGACUCAUUCAGACCUGGGGACAUCAGGUAGAGAGACUCAUUCAGACCUUGGGACAUCAGGUAGAGAGACUCAUUCAGACCUGGGGACAUCAGGUAGAGAGACUCAUUCAGACCUGGGGACAUCAGGUAGAGAGACUCAUUCAGACCUGGGGACAUCAGGUAGAGAGACUCAUUCAGACCUGGGGACAUCAGGUAGGAAGAGAAAGCAGAAAUGUUUUGGCCCUCAGGACCUGAAUAAUACUUUGACAUUGAAACACAACAGCUAUACAUAACUAGGUGAAAGCAGACCUGAUGCAACACACACACACAAUAAAACACACACACACACACACACACACACACACACACAAUCAGCACACGCACACACAAUCAGCACACGCACACACACGCACACACACACACAAUAAGCACACACACACACACACACACACACAAUAAACACACACACAAUAAGCACACGCACACGCACACACACAAUAAGCACACUGUGGUAAGACUGUUUUGGGUUGCAUUUUGUCUGCAUUUAGCCAAUCUGUAACAAUCAGAAGAAUAAAAUACACAUCCAAACAUCUUGACCUUUCAACAAACAGCAAGAUGGAAAUGAACCUUGUGAAGGAAACAGCAACAUAAAGUGUUUUAAUAGGAGGUAACUGGCAGAAUAAAGGAAACUCCAACAGUGUUUUAAUAGGAGGUCGGGUCGUCCACCAGGUAACUGGCAGAAUAAAGGAAACUCCAGGUCCUCCACCAACCACCAGGUAACUGGGAGAAUAAAGGAAACUCCAACAGUGUUUUAAUAGGACGUCGGGUCGUCCACCAGGUAACUGGCAGAAUAAAGGAAACUCCAGGUCCUCCACCAGGUAACUGGCAGAAUAAAGGAAACUCCAACAUAGUGUUUUAAUAGGAGGUCGGGUCGUCCACCAGGUAACUGGCAGAAUAAAGGAAACACCAACAGUGUUUUAAUAGGAGGUCGGGUCGUCCACCAGGUAACUGGCAGAAUAAAGGAAACUCCAGGUCCACCAACCACCAGGUAACUGGCAGAAUAAAGGAAACUCCAACAUAGUGUUUUAAUAGGAGGUCGGGUCGUCCACCAGGUAACUGGCAGAAUAAAGGAAACUCCAACAUAGUGUUUUAAUAGGAGGUCGGGUCGUCCACCAGGUAACUGGCAGAAUAAAGGAAACUCCAACAGUGUUUUAAUAAGAGGUCGGGUCGUCCACCAGGUAACUGGCAGAAUAAAGGAAACUCCAACAGUGUUUUAAUAGGAGGUCGGGUCGUCCACCAGGUAACUGGCAGAAUAAAGGAAACUCCAGAUCCACCAACCACCAGGUAACUGGCAGAAUAAAGGAAACUCCAACAUAGUGUUUUAAUAGGAGGUCGGGUCGUCCACCAGGUAACUGGCAGAAUAAAGGAAACUCCAGGUCCUCCACCAACCACCAGGUAACUGCCAGAAUAAAGGAAACUCCAACAGUGUUUUAAUAGGACGUCGGGUCCUCCACCAACCAGAACAGCUUUAAUACACCUUGACAUCGAUUCUACAAGUGUCUGGGAAGUCUAUCGGAGGGAUGAGACGCCAUUCUUCCACGAGGAAAUUCCAUCAUUUGGUGUUUUGUUGAUGGUAUUG
rnacentral:lncRNA from 1 species